ensembl:snRNA LOC120100114 U4 spliceosomal RNA
AGCUUUGCGCAGUGGCAGUAUCGUAGCCAAUGAGGUUUAUCCAAGGCGCGAUUAUUGCUAAUAGAAUAUGGCUCUAGUCUUGUGACCAUGGGCAAAUCCCUCUUAGCCUUGUUUCUCCAUCUGUUUAAAGACCACUUUAUAGUAUUGCCAUAAAUAUUAACUAAGCACUAUGAGGUUGGCAUAUGGUAAGUCUUCUAUAAGU